rnacentral:rRNA from 1 species
AAACUCUACAAUGCAGGCAACUGCGAUAGGGGAACAUCGAGUGAUCCUCAUAUUGGGGGUCUGUCCCACCGUCUAAAAAACGGUGGUUAGCAAGGGCCGGGCAAGACCGGUGCCAGCCGCCGCGGUAAUACCGGCGGCUCGAGUGGUGGCCGAUAUUAUUGAGUCUAAAGGGUCCGUAGCCGGCUUUGCAAGUCUCUCGGGAAAUCCAGCGGCUUAACCGUUGGUCGUCCGGGGGGUACUACAUUGCUUGGGACUGGGAGAGGUAGGAGGUACUCAGGGGGUAGGAGUGAAAUCCUGUAAUCCUCUGGGGACCACCGGUGGCGAAGGCGUCCUACCAGAACAGGUCCGACGGUGAGGGACGAAAGCUAGGGGCACGAACCGGA